rnacentral:rRNA from 1 species
AGUGAACGCUGGCGGCGUGCUUAACACAUGCAAGUCGAACGGAAACAGCAGUCUUCGGACUGGCUGUCGAGUGGCAAACGGGUGAGUAAAGUAUAGUUAAUUUGCCUCUUAGAGGGGGAUAGCCACUGGAAACGGUGAUUAAUACCCCCAUACUCCUUAUGUAUUGAUGUAUGUAAGGGAAAUGCUUUAGUGCUAAGAGAUAAGACUAUAUGGUAUCAGGUAGUUGGUGGGGUAAGAGCCUACCAAGCCAAUGACGCCUAGCUGGUCUGAGAGGAUGAUCAGCCACACUGGAACUGAGACACGGUCCAGACUCCUACGGGAGGCAGCAGUGGGGAAUAUUGCACAAUGGAGGGAACUCUGAUGCAGCAACGCCGCGUGGAGGAUGACGCAUUUCGGUGUGUAAACUCCUUUUAUAUAGGAAGAUAAUGACGGUACUAUAUGAAUAAGCACCGGCU